UCCUAUGGCGGAGGCAGCAGAUCCUCUGCUCUCCUCGUUUGGAUGAAUUCUGAUAUAAUAACUGUUGGUUUAUUUAUCGGUGGAGCAGCAGAACAUUUUCCACAGAUAGUUUUCCUGCCCGUUGGCUUGUUUUAACCAGUUUUCUACCUUUGGCUGAUUCUACCAGCAGACACUGAAAGGACUCUGACAGUUCGAGUGAAAGUAGCAGUUCCUCCUUAAGGUCAGAGAUUGCAGCAUCUGAGGGCCUCUUCAAAAGAAGACGUAGUUGAUGAAGGCGUUCUGGAGCAGGACCAGAAAGACCACGACCAAGCAGCCUUGAGAUCUUAGGCAGCAUCUCCCUCAGGUCCCUCUCUAUCUCCUCACACAUCCACCAACCACUGGAACACAUCUCCAAAGUUCUGCCGGGCCAGCUCAGCUUCCCCUCAGAAGAAGUGCCACCACCUGCCAGAUGAAGGAGCCUUUUGAGAGGCAGCUGGCAUCGUGAUUGGACUGUACUUUGGUCUGUUCCAAUCCAGCUUCAGCUCCAGAGACGGCAGGCGGGACGAGUCAACGGAGGCCGGGUGGACAAAGGCAUGCAGCUGAGUACAAUCCAGAAAACAACAGAGGAGGAGUGCAGUGACCCAGGGCCAGAACAAACAGAGUAUGUCUCUUAGAAAACAUCAUAGUAUAGCCUUUGGUAUGAAAAAACACUAUAAUAUACAUCGUAUAUUGUACAAAUAACAAGUCAAAGGAAAGAGACAUACAUUGUAGAAUUGUAGUAAUUGUGGGCUGACUGAUUUACUGAUUAUCAGUAUUUUAUUUUUUACUGAUUUACGGUAAUAAAUCAAUUUAAAAAUGG